CUACGGGGGGCAGCAGCAGGGAAUAUUGCACAAUGGACGGAAGUCUGAUGCAGCGACGCCGCGUGGAUGAUGAAGGCCCUCGGGUUGUAAAAUCCUUUUCAGGGGGACGAGGAAGGACGGUACCCUUGGAAUAAGCGUCGGCUAACUACGUGCCAGCAGCCGCGGUAAGACGUAGGACGCAAGCGUUAUCCGGAUUUACUGGGCGUAAAGCGUCUGUAGGCGGAAUGGUAAGUUGGACGUGAAAGCUCCGGGCUCAACCCGGAGAGGUCGUUCAAUACUACCAAACUAGAGGGCAUCAGAGGAGCGUGGAAUUUCCGGUGUAGCGGUAAAAUGCGCAGAUAUCGGAAGGAACACCAAUGGCGAAGGCAGCGCUCUGGGAUGAACCUGACGCUAAGAGACGAAAGCUAGGGGAGCGAACAGGAUUAGAUACCCCCGUAGUC
rnacentral:rRNA from 1 species